rnacentral:rRNA from 1 species
UAAACUUGCGGAAGGACCAUUG